rnacentral:rRNA from 1 species
AUGUGGACCAUUGAUGCGCAACUGAUUCUUUCAAUCCCAAUUUCGCAACAUAAUAUGACAGAUUUUAUUGCCUGGAGUUAUACGAAAAAUGGUAUGUUUUCGGUACGGUCUGCUUACUCCAUGGAGUGGAACUAUCAGUAUGGGAGCAAACUUAAAUAUUCCAACGGGAUUGGACGGAGCAUAUACCCUAUAUGGUGUCAGAUAUGGAAGUUAUCUUGUCCGGCUAAAGUCAAAAAAAAUUUAUGGCGGACACUACAUGGCACUCUUCCAUGUCGGGCAACACUCAUUAAUAGACACAUGAAGAUCUCGCCCUCUUGCCCUACAUGCGCUCAGGGUGUAGAAGAUACGAAGCACUUGCUUUUCCUAUGUAAAAAAGCCAAGGAGGUUUGGAAAAGGCUAGGGUUGGAUAUGAUUAUUGAGAGAGCUUGUGAGAUUGAUCGUGCUGGAGAGGCAACAUUGGAAUACCUAUUACUCCUUCCAGAUCAAGACCUACGCAUUAUGGGGUACGAAAAUGUUCAAGAAAUGAUAGCAAUCUCAGCUUGGUAUCUAUGGUGGGAAAGACGAAAAUUAGUGCACAAGGAGUUAACUCAAAAUGCGACUCAGAUCUCAAUGGGGAUCAUAGCUCUUACAUAUAAUUUUGUAAAUGCAUCAUCUUUAAAGGCUUGCAUCAAAAAGGGGGUUGGUAAUGUCCUUCUAGGGGCUUUGCGAGACUAA